rnacentral:rRNA from 1 species
GACGUAGGGGCCGAGCGUUGUCCGGAAUUACUGGGCGUAAAGCGCGCGCAGGCGGAUUCGCGCAUCAUCGGUGAAAGCCCCCCGCUCAACGGGGGAGGGUCCGGUGUGAUGGCGAGUCUGGAGGCAGGGAGAGGCGAGUGGAAUUCCGGGUGUAGUGGUGAAAUGCGUAGAGAUCCGGAGGAACACCAGUGGCGAAGGCGGCUCGCUGGACCUGACCUGACGCUGAGGCGCGA